rnacentral:misc_RNA from 1 species
GUCAAUAUGAACAAUUUCCAACUGUCCCUUGGGGGCUAGCAUGGACGUGCCAAUGGGACUUUUCUUUGCCCCGUCUAUGUUGCCGUUUAUGAGAAACAGUUGAAAGCUGGGCUGAGACUACCACUUAACCCUUUUGAUGAGGAGGUUCUAUGUUAUUACUGGCUUUCUAUCCUUAGCUUCAUCCAAACUCACGGAGUAUGCUCUCU